AUUGAACGCUGGCGGCAGGCCUAACACAUGCAAGUCGAACGAGUGGCGGACGGGUGAGUAAUGUCUGGGAAACUGCCUGAUGGAGGGGGAUAACUCCUGGAAACGGUAGCUAAUACCGCAUACCAUCAGAUGUACCCAGAUGGGAUUAGUUAGUGGGUGGGGUAACGGCUCACCAAGGCGACGAUCCCUAGCUGGUCUGAGAGGAUGACCAGCCACACUGGAACUGGGACACGGUCCAGACUCCUACGGGAGGAAGCAGUGGGGAAUAUUGCACAAUGGGCGCAAGCCUGAGGGAGCCAGGCGGCGUGUAUGAAGAAGGCCUUCGGGUUGUAAAGUACUUUCAGCGGGGAGGCGUUACCCGCAGAAGAAGCACCGGCUAACUCCGUGCCAGCAGCCGCGGUAAUUC
rnacentral:rRNA from 1 species